rnacentral:pre_miRNA from 2 species
UCUUAUGGAUAAGCAAAGAAAGUAGUUUCUUGAGAGGGAAUCUAGUCCUGGCGAAGGUGCUGUGAA